rnacentral:rRNA from 1 species
GACGAACGCUGGCGGCGCGCCUAACACAUGCAAGUCGAACGAGCGAGAGAGAGCUUGCUUUCUCGAGCGAGUGGCGAACGGGUGAGUAACGCGUGAGGAACCUGCCUCAAAGAGGGGGACAACAGUUGGAAACGACUGCUAAUACCGCAUAAGCCCACGGCUCGGCAUCGAGCAGAGGGAAAAGGAGCAAUCCGCUUUGAGAUGGCCUCGCGUCCGAUUAGCUAGUUGGUGAGGUAACGGCCCACCAAGGCGACGAUCGGUAGCCGGACUGAGAGGUUGAACGGCCACAUUGGGACUGAGACACGGCCCAGACUCCUACGGGAGGCAGCAGUGGGGAAUAUUGCACAAUGGGGGAAACCCUGAUGCAGCGACGCCGCGUGGAGGAAGAAGGUCUUCGGAUUGUAAACUCCUGUUGUUGAGGAAGAUAAUGACGGUACUCAACAAGGAAGUGACGGCUAACUACGUG